CAACAUGUGACGCCAUGGGGGUAGGACGCUGGGAACUAUUCUCCGAAGCUGUGUGAGACAACAUGUCCCUGAGGGCCAGGACUGGAGUCAGUUCUUCCAAGUACACACUCUUUGGGAAAGGAAAGGAAGAAAAAACUUGAACUGCUUCUUAUGUUUUCAACCCAAGGCAUAGGUAGAGCGGUCCUGGAAGAGCGGGCCAGAAGGUGGCUCCGUGGACAGAGACGAUCUGCAGAGGUGCUGUGGGUGUCUGAUGAUUUCAGAGAGCAGACUGGUGUCCGAGCCUGUGAGAGCUCUCCAGAGGUAUCAAUCUGCCUAGAACACUGUGGUCAGAAAUGUUCUUGUCUUCCCUGCAUGCUGUGGCCCGACUAAAGGACAACAAUGAGCAUGAGUGUGGCAGAUCCUCUGAGAUGUUCUACAAGAAAAGCAAAACAAGACAAAAGCAAAAGAAACAGGACAAAAUUAGGCAUUCUCCCAUUAUUUAGCCCUGUCUUGAGCAUCCAUUUUAACAGUAACAUAUAUUGCUACCCACAUGACCGUCAAACAACUGCUAAGACCCCACACGUAUUCUAAAACACUGGUUGUCUCCUUUGAAGGCAGCAUGUGCUAUUCUACAGAACCAAAGAAGAGCCUCAGGCCCACACAGGCCACCCAGACCUGCCUUGCAGAUAUUUAUAGACUGGUUGGUGUUAACUUCUACACAGACAAUGCAUUUCUGACCUUGCCCUACUGUUGAUGACUUCUAAGUUCUAGGAACAUCGGGACUGGCCCAUCACCCUGCUUGAGCUAACCAUAUUUGACACAAGCAAUCCCAUUCACGGUGGCCCCGUGCCCUUGCUUACACCAGUCACAAUCCAGGAAGUAAUGUCGUGCUUGGGUUUUAGCAUAAACUUCAAAUCACAUGCACACUAACACUACUUCACAAGCUAGAAAUUACCACGUCUGGCUCAUUGACAUUUACUUCUGGGGACCAUUUCAAUCAGAUUAAUCCUUUCAUCUAAAUAAUUUUCCACUCACUUCACAGCAUCAAAACUCACCAACCCAUUCUCUACUGAUGCUCCCGACCUCCCUUCCUGUAGACGGUGAGACAAGAUUAAUUAUUACCUGGAGUUGUACACACUAUACCCUUAUUGGCAUUCAAGGAAAUCCAAAUAGCAGCAACAUCUACCUUAGCAGGGUGUGAGGAAGAGAAGAAAGAGCAGGAAAGAUGGAGAGACAACCGACUCUCCAUUUAUGAGCUGGCUGCUGGAGAAAGGGAUCCGACUAACACACAGGGGCUCAUGUGUUAAUUGGAGGCAGCUUCUGCAGCAGAACAAAUACCCCGGGCAUUUA